AUACUUACCUGGCAGGGAGUCUUAGCCAUGAUUACUAAGGUGACUCUCUUAGGGCAAGGCUGGUUCAUUGCACUAUGAGCUCGCUGACCUCUGCGAUUUCCCCACAUGUGGAAAACUCAACUGCACAAUUUAUGGUAGUGGGUGACUGCAUGCGCACUUUCCCCUA